UACGUAGGCAGCAAGCGUUGUUCGGAAUUACUGGGCGUAAAGGGCGCGUAGGCGGCGCACCAAGUCAGGCGUGAAAGCCCUGGGCUCAACCCGGGAAUUGCGCUUGAGACUGGUGUGCUUGAGUACGGGAGAGGAUAGUGGAAUUCCCAGUGUAGAGGUGAAAUUCGUAGAUAUUGGGAAGAACACCGGUGGCGAAGGCGGCUAUCUGGACCGUAACUGACGCUGAGGCGCGAAAGCGUGGGGAGCAAACAGG
rnacentral:rRNA from 1 species